CCAACGGGGGGCAGCAGUGGGGGAUAUUGCACAAUGGGCGAAAGCCUGAUGCAGCAACGCCGCGUGAGGGAAGACGGUUUUCGGAUUGUAAACCUCUGUCUUCGGUGAAGAAACAAAUGACGGUAGCCGAGGAGGAAGCCACGGCUAACUACGUGCCAGCAGCCGCGGUAAUACGUAGGUGGCAAGCGUUGUCCGGAAUUACUGGGUGGAAAGGGAGCGCAGGCGGGGAGACAAGUCAGCUGUGAAAACUAUGGGCUUAACCCAUAAACUGCAGUUGAAACUGUUUUUCGUGAGUGGAGUAGAGGUAGGCGGAAUUCCGAGUGUAGCGGUGAAAUGCGUAGAUAUUCGGAGGAACACCAGUGGCGAAGGCGGCCUCCUGGGCUCUAACUGACGCCGAGGCUCGAAAGUGUGGGGAGCAAACA
rnacentral:rRNA from 1 species